UGGAUGAACGGUUGAAAGUUUUCUUCAAGGGCUGUUGGGGCUUAAUCUUGAAGGUUGAGGGAAGUUUCUUCAAGGGCCUUUGGGCUUGAUCUUAAAGGUUGAUGGAUGAACGGAUCUUCAAGGCUUUUGGGCUUGAUCUUGAAGAACUGUUGAUGAACGGAUCUUUAAGGGCCUUUGGGGCUUGAUCUUGAUGAACAGUUGAUGAAUGGAUCUUUAAGGGCUUUUGGGCUUUAUCUUGAAGAACGGUUGGAUAUGUAUAUUUGUUGAUGUUGUUGAUCCAAAUGGCUGUUGGGGCUUGAUCUUAGGAUGAACGAAUGAUGAACGAUGAACAAUUUCUUCAAGGGCCGUUGGGGCUUGAUCUUGAAUUGGUGGAAGUUCCUUCAAAGGGCCGUUGGGGCUUGAUCUUAAAGGUUGGGUUGAUGAAGAACGAAGAGCUUUCUUGAUCCUUCGAGAUUUGCUUGGGAGCUUUGGAGUUUCAAAGCUUCAAGGUUUUGGUGUGAGGUGAAUUGGUUAUGACUUGGUUCCCUAAAUGAAUGCCUUGGCUUCCUAUUUAUAGAAUUCCAAAACUUGAUUUUUGGGUUUAAAUAAUCAGAUGAAAUAAAUCAUUUCUGCCAAGCGUUGACAUGUGUCAUGUUUGAUGACUUUUCUGAUGAUUCUCGAUUUUUUGUUGAGUCACAUGCUAUGUGUAAAAUUUAUGUGACACGUGAACGUUGAAAUUCUAAUUCUUGAUCAACAUUUAUUUCACCGAAAUUUUGAUGUCUACAAAUGCCCCCACUUCAAGGCGUGCCGUAUACAUGUGCUUGUCACGUGUAGGAGAUGCGUUUUGAAGUCCCUUAAUGUAGAUGUCGAUCCAAGGGCCAUCGAGGCUUGAUCUUGAAUUAGGUUGGAGAUUUCUUUAAGGGCUGUUGAGGCUUGAUCUUGAAUUGGGCUGAAGAUUUCUUCAAGGGCCCUUGAGGCUUGUUCUUAAACUUUUGUUUCAAAUUUCUUCAAGGGCAAUCGAGGCUUGUUCUUAAAGGUUGGAAUUGGACCACAAGGAGCUUCACGUGGUAGAUGAUCUUUGGCUUUAGUAGUGGAUGAAUCGGCACGUAUUUUAUUGUGCUUGUGGACUUUCCACAGCUUUGAUCUUGAACUGGGUUGGAGUAUUUUCUGGAUUCCUCCAAUUGUUGACUUUCCACAGCUUAUUCUUGAACUGGGUUGGAGGACUUUCUGGCUUCCUCCGAUUGUUGACUUUCCACAGCUUAUUCUUGAAUUAGGUUGGAGGAUCUUUUGGCUUCCUUCGAUUGUUGAUUUUCCAUAUCUUCUUUUGAACUGGGUUUGGAAUUCUGAGCGAGGAAUAUGAGAGUUCCUUGGUUUCAAAUAAAAGUCCUUAUGCUGGGUUGAUUUGAAUGUGCAGUCUGCAUUCUUCUUUGCUUGUUUCUUCUGCACGGCAGACAGGCACGACGUAGAGGUGAUGGUCCGUUUCCUUUUUCAGUCAUUCCAAGUGCCGACCAUUUGCUUUCUUUCUCCUUGUCCCUAGCUGAGGAUGAAUUAGCACAUUGUCUCCACAUGCUUCGAGGUAUCAGUUUCACUUCCUUUAUUUGUUCUUCAGGCAGAUGUGGUAGUUUUUUAGGAAGCAUAAGAUGUUGAAACAUGAGUACCUUGAAAGCAAGGCUAGGUAAGCAAUCAGGAAGGGGUUCCGGGCAAUUGGUUCCAGAUCGGAAGAUUGAUACCAAGUGCUGGCUGAUUGCUCUCUUUCUUCUUGUCCCGCAGGUGAAAACAACGACAAGAAGAAGGACAGGGAGAAAGCAUGAUAUGAGAUACUCUUGCUUUCAACCUUCAUGAUAUGAAAUACUUUUGCUUUUGAUGAGUUGUUUGCAGAGGUACCCUAAGGAAUAAUGAACACUGAGUGACUCGAGACGCUUCGUUGGGAAGGCAUUCUCAGAGAUAAAGAAAGGUUAUGUAUGUCUGCCUUGCUAUGGAGGGUGAAGGUCGACAUUUAUAGGAAUUAAUAAUUGGUACUAUUCUUUCACUCUUGUUGGCAACCGUUGGAUGAUUGAACAGUAAACUUCACGUGCUUUCUACUUCACCAAAAAUCUUCGACAAAUUGCUCGUGAUUUGCGCAAAGCUGAGUGUGUAUGUGACAGAUGCUGACACGUCUGGAAAAGCAGAUGCCUUUUCGAGAUCUGAAAUCGACGCUUAGACAAAGUGCUCGUGAUUUGCGCAAAGCUGAGUGUGCAUGUGACUGAUGCUGACACGUCUAGAAAAGCAGAUGCCUCUUCGAUUUCUGAGCUUGCCUCUUCGAGUUAUGAGCUUCGUCGAGUGUAGAGGUUGCAUGUGAUAAGUGCGGACAAAUCUGGAAAAGAGGAUGGCCCGUGGUUUCUGAGCAAGCCCAGCUUUUGAGAAAGCUAGCAUUUCUUCGAUUUUUUGAAUUGGCCUCUUCGAAUUCUGAGCUUGCCUCUUCGAUCUCUGAAAUCCCUUCGAGUGCUAAUUUUUAUAGAGCAAUACAUUUCAAAGCACACUUGAAUUUUUGCCUGUAGAAACUCCCUUCUUGCACUUGAUUUGUUCGACCUCUUCUUUCUUCAACACUUUUGAAAAUGUCUGGCCCCUUCGACCGUCGUUUUGACUUGAACCUUGGUGAAGAGGCAGCCAUGCCUUCUCAAGACAACAUAUGGAGCCCAUCCUUCAUAUCCCUAUUGGUCAUCUUACCGUUGGGGAUUCGAUAAUGAAGAAUGAUAUGACCGAUGCGGUGGUGGCCAGGAACUUUGUCACUCCCAAAGAUAACAGACUACUUUCCAAACGGUCUGAUGAGUUGGCUGUUAAGGAUUCUCUGGCUCUCAGUGUGCAGUGUGUAGGUUCUGUGUCUAAUAUGGCCCAACGUCUAUUUGCUCGAACACGUCAAGUUGAAUCAUUGGCGGCUGAAGUGAUGAGUCUUAAACAGGAGAUUAGAGGGCUCAAGCAUAAGAAUAAACAGUUGCACAGGCUCGCACAUAAUUAUGCUACAAACAUGAAGAGGAAGAUUGACCAGAUGCAGGAAUCUAAUGGUUAGAUUUUACUUGAUCAUCAGAGGUUUGUGGGUUUAUUCCAACAGCAUUUGCCUUCGUCUUCUGGGGCUGUACCGUGUAAUGAAGCUCCAAGUGAUCAACCUUCGGUGCCUCCUCCUCCUGGGGUUUUGCCUAGUACUGAGGCUUUGAAUAAUCACCCUCUAGUUCCUCUUCGAUCUGGGGCUCUGCCGACUGCUGAGACUUCUCCUGAGCAACCUUUGUGAAGGCUCCUCUUGUUUGUUUAUUUUGAUUCAUGUAUAUGUACAUAUUUGUAACUUAUUGGAAAUAUCAAUAAAUGAGCUUUAUUUCAUUUAAUGUCUAUAUAUACAUAUAUAUUUCAUAUGGUGCUGAUCCACCAUUCAUUUAUAUAUAUAUAUAUAUAUAUUUUUUUUUUUCUUUUCUUUUCUUGCACAUGGUGCCAGAUGCACCAUCAUUCUUUUAUAUUAUUAUCAUUUAUUUUUUUUCUUUACUUUCGGUGGUGCUGAUCCACCACUAUGCUUCACUAUCUCAUUUUUUAUUAUAUUUUUUGUAUAAAUUUUGAUGAUGGGCUGGGGAAUUUGCAGGGAAAGAUGAAGAUAGACGGAGAGCUACAGUCGAGGCUUCAUGACCGGCUAGUCGUUUGACGGCGGUUAUUGAAGUUCUUUGCCAUUGCUGUUUGCCACGGACGGAGAGCUACAGUCGUGGCUUUAUGACCGGCUAGUCGUUUGAAGACGGAGAGCUACAAUCUCUCUCAAAUUUGAUCCUCUGAUUCGAUCUCCAUAAGGUGUUGAUUUGUGGAUGUGUGAUUGAUCCAAGGGCUAUCGAGGCUUGAUCUUGGAUGAACGGUUGAAAGUUUUCUUCAAGGGCCGUUGCGGCUUAAUCUUGAAGGUUGUGGGAAGUUUCUUCAAGGGCCUUUGGGCUUGAUCUUAAAGGUUGAUGGAUGAACGGAUCUUCAAGGCUUUUGGGCUUGAUCUUGAAGAACUGUUGAUGAACGGAUCUUUAAGGGCCUUUGGGGCUUGAUCUUGAUGAACAGUUGAUGAAUGGAUCUUCAA
rnacentral:lncRNA from 1 species